GAGAUCCAAAUUCCGGCACCAGAAAGUUACCGAUUGUGGUAGACAAGAUCGACAGUUUACCAUCGUGGCCUCAACAUAGCGAUAGUAAUGAAGAAUUUCUGGACAUGGAAAGUUUUUCUUAGAUGACCGUGAGAAGAAAAUUACGUGAAAAACAUUGUGAAUUUUUGAAUGAUCCCGAAGGAUUUAUUGAUAAAGAAACGAGUGAUUCCACGAAAAAUUUCAUUACACUAUGGGCUUGGCUUACCAUGGUGGAAUUUUAUGUCAUUUUUUAUUUGAUCAAUUGAACUUUAUUGUUCGAGGACAAUCGUAGAUGUGUGUUGAUAUAAUUACAGUGGAACCUAGUACACAAUACAUAUAAAGUUUCAUUGUCAUUGUUUGUAGUUUACUUCUAGCUUUAUGCACGGAUUUUUAUAUAUAACUGUCUGUUGUGCAUAUAGACUGAUUCGAAAAAAACGAUGAAUUUUGGUAGGAAAAAAGAACGACAACCUCAACCAAGGCAAUCACUGCCGCCUUUUUGGAGUACUUCACGGGUAUCAGUUUUACAGAAA